GACGAACGCUGGCGGCGCGCUUAACACAUGCAAGUCGAGCGAGAACCAGUCCUUCGGGACUGGGGACAGCGGCGAACGGGUGAGUAACACGUGGGUAAUCUGCCCUCGGCACCGGAAUAGCCCGGGGAAACCCGGAUUAAUGCCGGAUGGCCUCUCUGCCCCCCGGGGCGGCGAGCAACGGUAGCUUCGGCCUCCGGCCGAGGAUGAGCCCGCGGCCGAUUAGCUUGUUGGUGGGGUAACGGCUUACUACGGCGACGACCGGUAGCUGGGCUGAGAGGACGAUCAGCAAAACUGGGAGUGAGACACGGCCCAGACUCCUACGGGAGGCAGCAGUGGGGAAUCUUGCGCAAUGGGCGAAAGCCUGACGCAGCGACGCCGCGUGCGGGAAGAAGGCCUUCGGGUUGUAAACCGCUUUCAGGAGGGACGAAGCCACUCGGGUGAAUAGCCUAGAGGGUGACGGUACCUCCAGAAGAAGCCCCGGCUAACUACGUGCCAGCCGCCGCCGUAAAAC
rnacentral:rRNA from 1 species